CAGGCUCCAAAGAGCACUGUUCGCGCUUCACGCGUAUUUUGAAUGCGGUCGGAUAGUCGAGCAGCACCGGCGAGACAACCACCGGGAAGCGCUGAUGCGUUUCUCAGUCAAGGAUCGGCGGGAUCUUCUCAGGAAGAUCAUCCCAUUCUUCGACGAACAUCCACUGGUCACCGCGAAAGCGGCGGACUUCACCAAGUUCGCCGGCAUCAUCGGCAUGAUGGUUGAAGGACGACACCUCACACUCGAGGGGUUGAGCCAGAUCGCCAGCAUCACCGAAACGAUGAAUCGAAAGAAGCGGUCUCGAUUUCUGGAAUCCUCAGAGGCCAUACGCCAGCCAACUCAUGUCGACAAUAUGAGUUGAAGAUAUGGUCCUAGCCCUAUGGCGACAUAGGGGCUCACUAGAGCGAAAUUCCUUGUCGGGUAAGUUCCGACCUGCACGAAUGGCGUAACGACUUGGGCACUGUCUCAACCAGGGACUCGGUGAAAUUGCAGUGUGAGUAAAGAUGCUCACUACCUGCGGCAGGACGGAAAGACCCCGGAACCUUUACUGUAGCUUGACAUUGGAGUCUGGCGUUCGAUGUGUAGGAUAGGUGGGAGACUUGGAAGCGGAGGCGCUAGCUUUCGUGGAGUCAACCUUGAAAUACCACCCUUCGCUCGACGGGCUUCUAACCUAGAUCCGUUAUCCGGAUCAGGGACAGUGUCUGGCAGGCAGUUUCACUGGGGCGGUGGCCUCCUAAAGUGUAACGGAGGCGCCCAAAGGUUCCCUCAGCCUGGUCGGCAAUCAGGCGUUGAGUGUAAAUGCACAAGGGAGCUUGACUGCGAGACUUACAAGUCGAGCAGGGACGAAAGUCGGGAUUAGUGAUCCCAUGGUGGCACGUGGGUGCGCCAUGGCUCAACGGCUAAAAGGUACUCCGGGGAUAACAGGCUUAUACCCCCCAAGAGUCCAUAUCGACGGGGGUGUUUGGCACCUCGAUGUCGGCUCGUCGCAUCCUGGGGCUGGAGAAGGUCCCAAGGGUCGGGCUGUUCGCCCGUUAAAGCGGCACGCGAGCUGGGUUUAGAACGUCGUGAGACAGUUCGGUCCCUAUCCGCCGCAGGCGCAGGAGAUUUGAGAGGAUCUGUCCCUAGUACGAGAGGACCGGGAUGGACGUACCGCUGGUGUGCCAGUUGUCCUGCCAAGGGCACGGCUGGUUGGCUAUGUACGGACGGGAUAAGCGCUGAAGGCAUCUAAGCGCGAAGCCCACCUCGAGAUGAGAUCUCCCACGGAGAUAAUCCGGUAAGGCCCCUGGCAGAAGACCAGGUUGAUAGGCCGGAGGUAUAAGUGCAGCAAUGCAUUCAGCCGACCGGUACUAAUAGGCCGAGGGCUUGGAUUG
rnacentral:rRNA from 1 species